rnacentral:rRNA from 1 species
CCUACGGGGGGCUGCAGUGGGGAAUAUUGGACAAUGGGGGGAACCCUGAUCCAGCCAUGCCGCGUGUGUGAAGAAGGCCCUCGGGUUGUAAAGCACUUUCAGUGAGGAAGAACGCCUGGUGGUUAAUACCCAUCAGGAAAGACAUCACUCACAGAAGAAGCACCGGCUAACGCCGUGCCAGCAGCCGCGGUAAUACGGAGGGUGCGAGCGUUAAUCGGAAUUACUGGGCGUAAAGCGCGCGUAGGUGGCUUGAUAAGCCGGUUGUGAAAGCCCCGGGCUCAACCUGGGAACGGCAUCCGGAACUGUCAAGCUAGAGUGCAGGAGAGGAAGGUAGAAUUCCCGGUGUAGCGGUGAAAUGCGUAGAGAUCGGGAGGAAUACCAGUGGCGAAGGCGGCCUUCUGGACUGACACUGACACUGAGGUGCGAAAGCGUGGGUAGCAAACAGGAUUAGAUACCCUGGUAGUC